CUCUUCUCAGGAUCACAACUGGAGAGUUUCCAGUACUCUGCCAGUCUUGGCCAAGGGAGGGAGAGUCAAGUAGAAGCAUAUCCUGUUCCAUUCCUAGCUUGGACAGUGGCUAAUGAGUGGAAAGCAAUCUGCUACAAGU